GAAACUUUAGUACAAUAGGUAGUACAAUAUGGUAGGACUAUAUAAUACUGGUUCGAGUCUAGUAAGUUUUA